GAAAAGAAAAAGUUAAAGUUUGUACCUUUUGUAUUAUGGUUCAAUAAGGUUAUGUAAAUAGAGUUUUAUAACCCGAAGCUGGGCGAGCUAGUGUAUUCUGCUUUAAGAGAGAGAGCUUUUACUGUUGCAAUAGUAAGGUUUGAGGGUACAUUAGGUGUGAAAUGCUUAUCGCGCUCAGGGAUAGCUGGUUUUCUUAGAAAUUGGGUGUAAGCUAAAUAUAUGUUUUUAUCGCUGUAGUAAUUAUUUUACAGAAUAAUAAAGUAGUUUUUGAUAGUAGCAUAAUUGUAAGACAGGAAGGGAUAAGCUUUUCUGUCAAUAAAGAAAAAGCUUUAUUUACUAAUUAAGGGUAGUUUUCAUAGUAAUGUGUCGGAUAUUGAUAAAAAGUAGGAUUAAUAGCAUCUAGCUUUACAAAGGGCGUUAAAGCUUAUUUAGUGUAGAAGAUACAAAAGAUUUUUAGAAAAUAAUUCUAAAUUGUAAAAGUUUAUAGGAGAAUUUCAUAGGUUUGAAAGUUAUAAUGUUGAAAUUAGUAGAGAGUAAAAGCAUAUUUUUUGUGUAUUAAUCAGGCCUAACAUUGGAUGGAACAAUUAUUCAUUAUCGGGAAAUUAGUUUGUUUAAGUUGUCUACUAACACAAGUAAUAUGGUGUAGCCUAAAUUAAGGGAAAGGAACUCGGCAAAUAAAGAUUUCGCCUGUUUACCAAAAACAUCGCUCUUUGUAAAGAAUCUAAUAUAUAAAGGGUCCUGCCUGCCCAGUGACUUAGUUAAACGGCCGCGGUAUCUUGACCGUGCAAAGGUAGCAUAAUCAUUUGCCUCUUAAAUGGGGGCUGGUAUGAAUGGCAAGACGGGAAUCUAGCUGUCUCUCCCUUAUAUCUUGAAGUUAAUAUUUCUGUGAAGAAGCAGGAAUGGGAUCGCAGGACGAGAAGACCCUAUCGAGCUUUAGUAGAAAUAAGAUAUAGCUUUGUCAAUAGUGUUUGUGUUGCUAAUUCAAUUGUUAGAAACAGUUCUUAUAGUUUUACUACUAAAAACAGUAGUGUUGUAUAUAUAAUACUUAGGUUGGGGCAACCGCGGAGAAUAAUUAUCCUCCGUUAAUUUUAUUGGAAAAACAAUUAUUUUCCAAUAUAGGAUUUAUUUAAAAAGUGAUCCACCUGCAGUGGUGAGCAAAAGAAUAAGUUACCGUAGGGAUAACAGCGUAAUUUUUUUGGAGAGUUCAUAUUGAUAAAAAAGUUUGCGACCUCGAUGUUGGAUCGGGAUUUCCUGGGGAUGCAGCAGUUCCCAAUGGUUGGUCUGUUCGACCAUUAAAAU
rnacentral:rRNA from 1 species